rnacentral:rRNA from 1 species
GAUGAACGCUGGCGGCGUGCCUAAUACAUGCAAGUCGAGCGAAUGGAUUAAGAGCUUGCUCUUAUGAAGUUAGCGGCGGACGGGUGAGUAACACGUGGGUAACCUGCCCAUAAGACUAGGAUAACUCCGGGAAACCGGGGCUAAUACCGGAUAACAUUUUGAACCGCAUGGUUCGAAAGUGAAAGGCGGCUUCGGCUGUCACUUAUGGAUGGACCCGCGUCGCAUUAGCUAGUUGGUGAGGUAACGGCUCCACAAGGCAACGAUGCGUAGCCGACCUGGGAGGGUGAUCGGCCACACUGGGACUGAGACACGGCCCAGACUCCUACGGGAGGCAGCAGUAGGGAAUCUUCCGCAAUGGACGAAAGUCUGACGGAGCAACGCCGCGUGAGUGAUGAAGGCUUUCGGGUCGUAAAACUCUGUUGUUAGGGAGGAACAAGUGCUAGUUGAAUAAGCUGGCACCUUGACGGUACCUAACCAGAAAGCCACGGCUAACUACGUGCCAGCCGCCGCCGUAA